AUGUUGCUAUAAAUUGAAAUUCAUCUUUGUAGGUACUGGCAGGAAGCGUUAAAUCAAGAUGCGAGGAAACACGCUGUAACCUACAUAUUACCAAGACUGAGGUCUUUAUAGAUGAAGAGGAAACUGGAGGUGAAGAGCAUAUACAGUUCAUCAGUAGAAUAUCAUUCAUCACUCAAGAUCCAGGUGAAAAAACAGUAUUUGGCUAUGUGUACAGUCCAGAUUCCUUCAGAAGACUCCCGGAUAAGCUUUAUGUUUUUAAGUCCAAUGAAGCCGACGUUAUCAUUAAAAUCUUGAGGGAAAAUAAAGGACCUUCGAAUAAUAACAUGAG